ACUCGUGCAAGUGUGAUUGAGUGUUGUUUACAGAGUUGACAGUUCUCUCAUCUUCUCUAAGUUAUUGUAGGCUUUAUAACACGUUUCAUAUUGUGAAUUUAGAGUAUUAACGUAACCGAAGAUAUGGGGGAAGCCAAAGAAAAAGAGUACGCGUGUGGAACUAUCCUCUACAUUUCAGAAAUGCUUCCCUCUGCUUGGGUUUGCUAAAUUAGCCAUGCUGCUAACUUACAAUUCAGCUAACUAGCAAGGGAAAAACUGCAUAUCUAUGUAAUCAACCAACCCUGUCUCCGUUUUUGUAGACUAAUAAAAAGUGAGAAUGCUAGGUAUGGGUUGACUUUCUAAAAGAGCUAGUUAUUUAUCUAUGUUGUUGCUAUGUGUCGGUAGCUAGCUAAUGCCAGCUGAUCUGAGCCGAGCUGGUGGUGAUGAUGAGCAUUGCUGAUGUCAUCAAUCAGCUGGUCGAAGCGCAUGAAGAAGGAAAUGACGUCAACCUCAACAAAUCGCUGUCGUGACUGUGACGUUAAAACCCCAUCGUUGUCCAGAUCGCUGUGGUGACUGGGACGUUAAAACCCCAUCGUUGUCCAGAUCGCUGUCGUGGUUGUGACGUUAAAACCCCAUCGUUGUCCAGAUCGCUGUGGUGACUGGGACGUUAAAACCCCAUCGUUGUCCAGAUCGCUGUCGUGGCUGUGACGUUAAAACCCCAUCGUUGUCCUCACAUCAAUUUCACAGGAAACAUCUGUGUGUGUUCCGGACUCUUUGAAUACUCCACAGUCUUACAGGCUAUGAGGUGCUCUGAACGCAGUAACACUGUGUCUGGGCAUCGCCAUCGAGACGCCUCCUGACUACUGUCUGAAGAGACACCUCAGUGACACGCUGGGGUACGGCUGUACCCGGCUGGAGAUAGGGGUUCAGAGCGUCUACGAGCACGUAGCACGGGACACCAACAGAUCCACAGAUGAUGCCAUCUCUAUUGAACUCCACACUGCCCUUUCCCACCUCGACAAAAGGAACACCUACGUGAGAAUGCUAUUCAUCGACUACAGCUCAGCGUUCAACGCCAUAGUCCCCACAAAGCUAAUCACUAAGCUAAGGACCCUGGGACUAAACACCGCCCUCUGCAACUGGAUACUAGACUUCUUGACGGGAGGCCCCCAGGUGGUGAGGGUAGGCAACAACUCAUAUGCCACGCUGACCCUCAACAUAGCUUUAAGCACCAGCUGUCAGAGCAGCUCACAGAUCACUGCACCUGUACACAGCCCAUCUGUACACAGCCCACCUGUACACAGCCCACCUGUACACAGCCCAUCUGUAAAUAGCCCAUCUGUAAAUAGCCCAUCUGUACACAGCCCAUCUGUACAUAGCCCAUCUGUACACAGCCCACCUGUACACAGCCCACCUGUACACAGCCCACCUGU